CAGCAGCCACUGUAAUACGAAGGGUGCAAGCGUUACUCGGAAUUACUGGGCGUAAAGCGUGCGUAGGUGGUGGUUUAAGUCCGUUGUGAAAGCCCUGGGCUCAACCUGGGAAUUGCAGUGGAUACUGGGUCACUAGAGUGUGGUAGAGGAUAGUGGAAUUUCCGGUGUAGCAGUGAAAUGCGUAGAGAUCGGAAGGAACAUCUGUGGCGAAGGCGACUAUCUGGGCCAACACUGACACUGAGGCACGAAAGCGUGGGGAGCAAACAGGAUUAGAUACCCCCGUAGUCCCUGUCUCUUAUAC
rnacentral:rRNA from 1 species